rnacentral:tRNA from 1 species
UGCUGGGUAACUCAACGGUAGAGUGGCGGACUAUUAACUGUAAAUGCGGGUUCGAUUCCCGUCCCGGCUAUAA